AGGUGCCAAUGCUACACUUCCUUAGCUAGGAGCUAGCAAUGCUACGUGGAAUUGCAUGUCGGUAUCUUCUGAGAGGUUGUUCUCUCUCCACUUCUCAUUCAAGUCUGAAGAUGCUUACAGUCACCUGCAGUACUUCUAAAUCAGAGUUUUGAGAUGGAAGAGGUCACAGCUCCAAUGAUCUCAGCCGAAGAAGAUGAGGAAGAAGACCAGCACAAGUGCUCUCCAAGGAAUGUCUUCCUGCCCGGUGUCCUGGACAACUGCCUGUCUUUAGAAUUAACAAAUGCUCUGACUUGCAGAGUCUCUCUCAAAUCAGCUUUUGCUGGUAUCAGGAUUUCUCUGGAGGACUCAACAAAGUCCUCUCCAUGCCUGAGAUUCCUACAAUGAUUGAAAUUCCAUUGUUUCUUCCCCGUGGCAUCCAGCCCACUGUACGCUGUGGCAUUUGGACAGGUUCUUGCCUCGAGUUCCUGCUCUGCCUUCAUUUCACUAUACCUAGAAGCUGAAAUAAACUAUUUCCUCCACAA
rnacentral:lncRNA from 1 species